rnacentral:tRNA from 1 species
CACCCGAUGACUGAAAGUUAGUGUAGGUCUUUUAAACCUAUUAUAGUAAAUAACGCCUACUUCUGGUGGG